rnacentral:rRNA from 1 species
GACGAACGCUGGCGGCGUGCUUAACACAUGCAAGUCGAACGGUAAGGCCCUUCGGGGUACACGAGUGGCGAACGGGUGAGUAACACGUGGGUGAUCUGCCCUGCACUUCGGGAUAAGCCUGGGAAACUGGGUCUAAUACCGGAUAGGACCACUGCCUGCAUGGGUGGUGGUGGAAAGCUUUUGCGGUGUGGGGUGGGCCCGCGGCCUAUCAGCUUGUUGGUGGGGUGAUGGCCUACCAGGGCGCCGACGGGUAGCCGGCCUGUGAGGGUGACCGGCCACACUGGGACUGAGAUACGGCCCAGACUCCUACGGGAGGCAGCAGUGGGGAAUAUGGCACAAUGGGCGCAAGCCUGAUGCAGCGUCGCCGCGUGAGGGAUGACGGCCUUCGGGUUGUAAACCUCUUUCAGCACCGACGAAGCGCAAGUGACGGUAGGUGCAGAAGAAGGACCGGCCAACUACGUGCCAGCCGCCGCUGUAA